CCAGACUCCUACGGGAGGCAGCAGUGAGGAAUAUUGGUCAAUGGCCGCAGGGCUGAACCAGCCAAGUCGCGUGAGGGAUGACGGUCCUAUGGAUUGUAAACCUCUUUUGUCAGGGAGCAAAGGGCGCCACGUGUGGCGUUUUGCGAGUACCUGAAGAAAAAGCAUCGGCUAACUCCGUGCCAGCAGCCGCGGUAAUACGGAGGAUGCGAGCGUUAUCCGGAUUUAUUGGGUUUAAAGGGUGCGCAGGCGGUCUGUUAAGCCAGGGCACAGCCCCGGGGGCCCCCCCCCGCCCCGCCGUUGAAACUGGCAGUCUCGAGUUGGAGAGAAGUAUGCGGAAUGCGCGGUGUAGCGGUGAAAUGCAUAGAUAUCGCGCAGAAUUCCGAUUGCGAAGGCAGCAUGCCGGCGCCACACUGACGCUGAGGCACGAAAGCGUGGGUAUCGAACAGGAUUAGAUACCCUGGUAGA
rnacentral:rRNA from 1 species